AUUCGUUGCCAUCGAAUGUCGGCGACUAGUGACUAGUCUCUCGAUACGUUUGCGCGUAUAAAGAUAAUGGAAGAGAAGGAGUGAGCGCAGUGCAUCCGAAGCCGGAAAAAGACGCGGACCUUUAGUGAAUCUCAGGAAUUCGUAUUGCGAGAUCAAUCAUGAAGUGGGUGUACGUAUUGGGCCUUUUGUCGUUGGCCGCUGCAGCGUAUUCGGACUGUAAGGAGGACGCGUGUUACACCGUACGUUGUGCACCAGCUACGAGAGAAACUUGUCCAGACGGUGUUAUCGUGUUGAAUGGAGGUUAUUGCGGAUGUUGCGAUGCGUGCCGUGAGAAAAUAGCGAGAGGGGACGAUUGCUCGGACCUCAGUUCGAACUGUUCUUCCUCAUCUUCGUCGCCUACCAGAGCUUGCGAACCGGGUACGAGCUGCAUAAAACGGAAAGAUCGAACCUGGACUUGUCAGUAAUGGAACGCGACGAAUGGACGUGGAUUAUCAUUGAAUAAAAAUAACAUUGUCGUUGAA
rnacentral:lncRNA from 1 species